GGCCGGUUAGCUCAGUGGUUUGAGCAUGAUGCUGACAACGAUGACAGCACCGAGAUCGCGGGUACGAUUCCCGCUCAGUCCC
rnacentral:tRNA from 1 species